rnacentral:tRNA from 1 species
GAGGGUAUGGAUCAAAUGGUAAAGCUCAUGCUUAGCAUGCAUAAGGUCCUGGAUUCAAUCCCCAGUACCUCCA